ACUCCUACGGGAGGCAGCAGCCGCGGUAAUAUUGGGCAAUGGGGGGAACCCUGACCCAGCGACGCCGCGUGGGUGAAGAAAUCCUUCGGGAUGUAAAGCCCUGUUGUAUGGGAAGAGCAGAAGACGGUACCAUACGAGGAAGCCCCGGCAAACUACGUGCCAGCAGCCGCGGUAAU
rnacentral:rRNA from 1 species